rnacentral:rRNA from 1 species
GGCCCUACGGGGGGCAGCAGUGAGGAAUAUUGGUCAAUGGGCGCGAGCCUGAACUAGCCAAGUCGCGUGAGGUAAGACGGUCCUAUGGAUUGUAAACCUCUUUUGUCGGGGAGCAAAAGACGCCACGCGUGGCGUUCCGAGAGUACCCGAAGAAAAAGCAUCGGCUAACUCCGUGCCAGCAGCCGCGGUACUACGGAGGAUGCGAGCGUUAUCCGGAUUUAUUGGGUUUAAAGGGUGCGCAGGCGGAAGAUCAAGUCAGCGGUAAAAUGGAGAGGCUCAACCUCUUCGAGCCGGUG